UCUUACCAAGGCCCUUCUCCCUUGAUUACUUAGUUUGGUAGGGUACCCAGCUCUAGUAAGAAUCCUGGAUGUUGCAAACUUCUUCAAUUUAAUAAUUAUGGAGACCACUGUGUUCUUGUAAAAUUUC